AUAACAAUACAGGACUCUUUAGAGGCCCUGUAAUUGUAAUGAGUCCACUUGAAAUCCUUUAACUCUGAUCAAUUGGAGGGCAAGUCUGGUGCACAGUCUCUCCUG
rnacentral:rRNA from 1 species